rnacentral:lncRNA from 1 species
UGAAGCAUCAACACGUACACAAAAUGGGUGUAGCGGAGAUGAGGAUGUUUCGUGGGAUGUAUGGGCACACGAGAAAGGAUAAGAUUGGGAAUGAGGAUAUCCGAGGUAAAGUAGGAGUAGCCAAAAUUGAAGGAAAUAUGAGAUAAAAUCGGUUCCGGUGGUUUGGACAUGUGCAAAGAAGGCCUACUGACGCUCCGGUUCGAAAAUGCGACUACGGGACAGAGGUUCAGGGCCGAAGGGGUAGAGGAAGACCUAGGAAAACUUUGGAAGAGACCCUAAGAAAAGACUUGAGUACUUGGAUCUAACGGAGGACAUGACACAAAACCGAGCGCAAUGGCGUUCUAGGAUUCAUAUAGCCGACCCCACUUAGUGGGAAAAGGAUUUGUUGUUGUUGUUGUUGUAAUGUUGAAUAUUUAAUAUAUAUAUAUAUAUAUGCGGCUGUUUACAGGGGAUGGGAAGUUGUGUUAUUAACCCAACAAUCACAUCUCUUCAAUUUGAAUGUUACAUCUUUUAAUUGUUGCCGAAAAGACAUGCUUCAUGGUCAACAAGUGUAAUCCUCCUAGGCAUGGUUAGGGUUAAGCCACUUAGCCAUGGAGGCAAGUGAAUGCGCAACAAGCAAUCUCUAAUCUUUGAACCGUUUGAGGGAGAAUACUUAUGAUAUGAUUAAUAAUCUCUGGCCAGAGUAUGAAUGAGAUUUAGGAAGUCGUUCCAAAUCAUAUUCAAGGUAGUCAUAUAAGUAAAUGAAUCACAUUGGAUAGUAGACAUGAAUAAACUAUCAAACCAAACAAUGUGGUCAAGAGUAUUGUAUUAGAGAAAGACCGUAUUGCAUUGUAAUCCUAAACUGAAUAGGUUCUCCACCUCUUCUGAUUAGCUUGGGUAGCCAUGACAUACUGCUAGGUGUCACUCAUGGUUUGUGGAAGCCAUAAAGGUGUAUAAUCACUAAAGGGAGAAUUGAAAAUAAGUUUUAAUUCACAAUCGAUUUGAAGAGUUCUAAUCGCCCACUACCUCGCUAAAAGGAACCUGGAUCGUACACCAUGUAUGGUAGAGAUUGAAGAAAUAAAGAGAUGGGUAAGGAUAAUUAAAUGGUUUAAUUAUUUGUGGCUAGGAUUAAUUAAUAUCUUAAUUAAUCAAACGAAUAAGUUUGUUAUAGACCUUGGGUUAGUUUUGGGCCCCAAGGCCCAAUGAUAUUUGAAUGUCAAGCCCAUUAACUCAAUUUGUAUGACAACUUGAAAACACAAAGGGCUUGAAAGCCCAAUGAACCCUUAAUGGCCGGCCAUAUAGAGUGGGGUAGUGAGCUUGGCUUAAUUGCAAGUUUGCCACUCCAUUGUGAGGUGAGUAAGGGCAACUUUAUAGCCAUUUCAUCCUAAAGGUUUCUUUUGGAGAAAAGAUGAGAACACAAGGCUCUCUUUUCUCUAAGAGGCUGGCCACCCUGGAGGAAAUUAGCUAGCAAUCGUACUUCGUCUAGGUCACUCAUCUCUUCAUCAAUGCUCUCCUUGGUGUGGAGACUUAGAGGUUCUCUAUUUUGGGAACUUGUAGAGAACCCAAUUCUUCCAUCCAUAUCCAAGAAGACAUGGAGCCAAGGAGCAAUGUUCCUCCAUCAAAAUCCAUGGAGCCAAGAAGGAAGGUGACAAAGGAAAGAAGGCCCUCACAUGGGUGAUUAACCUUUGCUAAGCAAAGAGGUGCUUCAAAGGUAUAAAGUUUCUCAACUCACUUUGUUUUGAGUUGAGUCUUGGUUCACCAUAACUACUAGGCCUUGAAUUUCAUGGGUUAAGUUUUCUUUUUGAGUGCAUACAAGCAUGAUUCUGCCUUUUAAUUGUUAAUAGCAUGCACAGAUGUUGCUCAAGUGAACUUGUUUUCACAAAUAUUUCCUUCAGUCUUUCUCUAAUACAAUACUCUUGACCACAUUGUUUGGUUUGAUAGUUUAUUCAUGUCUACUAUCCAAUGUGAUUCUCUUACAUAUAUGAUUACCUUGAAUGUGAUUUGGAAUGACUUCCUAAAUCUCAUUCAUACUCUGGCCAGAGAUUCUUAAUCAUAUCAUAGAGUAUUCUCCCUCAAAUGGUUUGAAGGUUAGAGAUCCCUUAUUGCACAUUCACUUGUCUCCAUGACUAAGUGGCUUAACCCCAAUUAUGUCGUAGACACCCUCUGAUGGAGUGACUUUCACAUAGUCAAAGAUAAAAGACCUAACCACAAGACAACUAUGAUACCUUAGGUCAAAGGACUACUUUGCAUUGUCCAACCAUGAGUUCUCAUGUGACAUGAGUAUGAGAACUCCUUGUUGAUCGUGUUCAGUGGACUCAUUCUCUAUUGAGCACCUACAUGCUUGUCUUGGUGUUAGUCACACCAAUGACUUGAGACCAGUCACUUUCCCUAAGAGAAGACGUAACACGUACUGAUCUUAACGGACUAUCGAUGCCCAAUUGGCAAUCCUAUGAUCAGGAACGUUUAGAAUAUGUAUACGAAAGAGAAUGGUCUCAUGAAUCUAACUUCUUUAGAUCACAUUCUCCGAAUUACAUAUUCCUUGAACUUAUCGUUUAAGUAUAUAACAUUUAUAUGAGACAACUUCAAACAAUAAUCUUGUCCCUUUGUAUUAAACUAGAUUAGUUUAACAUGCGAAAUGUCUGUAAAGUAUCAUCAUAUGAUUGGUUUUAGGGCAUAUUUCCAAC